UCGUCACACUAUCAUUAACUGAAUCCAUAGGUUAAUGAGGCGAACCGGGGGAACUGAAACAUCUAAGUACCCCGAGGAAAAGAAAUCAACCGAGAUUCCCCCAGUAGCGGCGAGCGAACGGGGAGGAGCCCAGAGCCUGAAUCAGCAUGUGUGUUAGUGGAAGCGUCUGGAAAGGCGCGCGAUACAGGGUGACAGCCCCGUACACAAAAGCGCAUGUGCUGUGAGCUCGAUGAGUAGGGCGGGACACGUGGUAUCCUGUCUGAAUAUGGGGGGACCAUCCUCCAAGGCUAAAUACUCCUGACUGACCGAUAGUGAACCAGUACCGUGAGGGAAAGGCGAAAAGAACCCCGGCGAGGGGAGUGAAAAAGAACCUGAAACCGUGUACGUACAAGCAGUGGGAGCACAGGUUUACCUGUGUGACUGCGUACCUUUUGUAUAAUGGGUCAGCGACUUAUAUUCUGUAGCAAGGUUAACCGAAUAGGGGAGCCGGAGGGAAACCGAGUCUUAACCGGGCGUUAAGUUGCAGGGUAUAGACCCGAAACCCGGUGAUCUAGCCAUGGGCAGGUUGAAGGUUGGGUAACACUAACUGGAGGACCGAACCGACUAAUGUUGAAAAAUUAGCGGAUGACCUGUGGCUGGGGGUGAAAGGCCAAUCAAACCGGGAGAUAGCUGGUUCUCCCCGAAAGCUAUUUAGGUAGCGCCUCGUGAAUUCAUCUCCGGGGGUAGAGCACUGUUUCGGCUAGGGGGCCAUCCCGGCUUACCAACCCGAUGCAAACUGCGAAUACCGGAGAAUGUUAUCACGGGAGACACACGGCGGGUGCUAACGUCCGUCGUGAAGAGGGAAACAACCCAGACCGCCAGCUAAGGUCCCAAAGUCAUGGUUAAGUGGGAAACGAUGUGGGAAGGCCCAGACAGCCAGGAUGUUGGCUUAGAAGCAGCCAUCAUUUAAAGAAAGCGUAAUAGCUCACUGGUCGAGUCGGCCUGCGCGGAAGAUGUAACGGGGCUAAACCAUGCACCGAAGCUGCGGCAGCGA
rnacentral:rRNA from 2 species